CAACUGCAGCCGCAUCAGCUGCUGCAGUUGCUGCUGCUGCAGCUGCUGCAGUUGCUGCUGCAGAUGAUGCUGCAGCAGCUGCUGCAGUUGCUGCUGCAGAUGCUGCUGCAGCAGCUGCUGCAGUUGCUGCUGCAGAUGCUGCUGCAGCAGCACUGGCUCUGACGCUGCUGCUGCAGCUGCUGCUGCUGCUGCAGCUGCUGCUGCAGCUGCUGCUGCUGCUGCAGCCGAUGCUGCUGCUGCUGCUGUUGCUG
rnacentral:ncRNA from 1 species